rnacentral:rRNA from 1 species
UACGGGGGGGGUAAGCGUUGUUCGGAAUUACUGGGCGUAAAGGGCUCGUAGGCGGCCAACUAAGUCAGACGUGAAAUCCCUCAGCUUAACUGGGGAACUGCGUCUGAUACUGGAUGGCUUGGAUUCGGGAGAGGAAUGCGGAAUUCCAGGUGUAGCGGUGAAAUGCGUAGAUAUCUGGAGGAACACCGGUGGCGAAAGCGGCUCUCUGGAACGGUACUGACGCUGAGACGCGAAAGCGUGGGGAGCGAACAGG